rnacentral:rRNA from 1 species
CCUACGGGAGGCAGCAGUGGGGGAUCUUGCACAAUGGGGGAAACCCUGAUGCAGCGACGCCGCGUGAGUGAUGAAGUAUUUCGGUAUGUAAAGCUCUAUCAGCAGGGAAGAAAAUGAGAGUAACUGACCAAGAAGCUCCGGCUAACUACGUACCAGCAGCCGCGGUAAUACGUAGGGGGCAAGCGUUAUCCGGAUUUACGGGGUGUAAAGGGAGCGUAGACGGUUAUUUAAGUAUGGAGUGAAAGCGCGGGGCCCAACCCCGGGAGUUCUUUGGAAACUGGAUAACUGGAGUACAGGAGGGGCAGGCGGAAUUCCUGGUGUAGCGGUGAAAUGCGCAGAUAUCAGGAGGAACACCGGCGGCGAAGGCGGCCUUCUGGACUGAAACUGACGUUGAUGCUCGAAAGCGUGGGGAGCAAACAGGAUUAGAUACCCUUGUAGUC